UCGAAUCACACAUUAAACAUCAAGCCUAUUCAUUCUACGAAAUUACUGUCCUAUUAUAUUUGCCUAAUAUUUGCAGAUCUUUAUUACUAAUAAGAUUCAAAGAUUAACUAAUGCAUAGCGGGAAAAUAUAUAUAACUAAUGUUUAACUAAUACAAAUAUCUAUAACUAAGUACAUAAAUUUUUGUCAUGUCAUUUCAUCUUCAAGGCGUACAUCAAAGUGAUUCAAAGUGGUGUACCUGGUAUUGGAAUACAAAGAUGAUGAAGACCAGUAGGAAGCGAUAGCAGCACACACACAGCAACAACAAUUCAGCAACACAUGAGUAACCCAGUAACAGCGGGAAUAACAGAAAACCCAGGAGACAGACCAAUAAAGAAGUAUCCAGUUGCCAAAAUAACUUCUGAUUUUUUAUCACUCAAGAAAAAGAAGCUUGAACCUUUAAUGAACAAUAGCAGUUGAUGCUAAUUGUUAAUAGUGAAUAAGAACAGAUUUUUUCUUUAGUUUCUAACUUUCAAAACUCAAAAAUUCUUAAGAUUCAAAAGUUCUUUUUCUUUUUUCCCUCUAGUACUGAAAAUAUUUCUCUCUCUCAAUUCUAGUCCCCCCUUUAAGUGUCAAAUGACUCCUAUUUAUAUCCCAAGCAAGACUAAUUCCUUUUUUACCUUUUAACUAUUAACUUCUUACUUUUAAACUAUUAUUACUAAUCCUUUUACCCUUUUUUACUUUUCAGCCUAAUAUUCUUCUAUAUGUUUAUCUUUUACCCCUUUACUACCACUUGUACUAUUUCUGAUUUUCAAUUAAGUAAAAAGCAGUCAAACACGGACCUCACGGUCCACCAUCUUUUUACUUUACAUCAUUAUGCUCCCCACAAGUCUUGUCCCCUCUUAUUUUAAUUAAAAGUUCCACCCUCUUUUUACUUUACAUCAUUAUGCUCCCCAAAAGUCUUGUUCCCUCUUAUUUUAAUUAAAAUUUAUGGACCCACAUUUAAUCAAUUCCCAAAAUACCCCCAAAAUUAUUGAAAUUACCAUUCUACCCCCAUCCCUUCAAUCUGCACCAAAAUUAUAAAAAAACACCAACUUACUACAGCUAUAACCAAAUUUCUAAUCAAAUUCAACAACAAUUUCAAACUAAAUAAUGAAUAACAAAGAACUAACUGAAAAUUAUUUUGAACAGCAUUCUUAACAAGCAUACUUCAGAUUCAACAACAAUAACAAAAAUUGGACAUAGCAAACAAGUAGAUCCUAAUCACAAAACUCAAAUUCAAAUUAUACUUAACAAAUCAAACAAACAAAUUUAAAUCUCUAACUUAGAUCCAAAUUUAGAUUUAACACAACAAUAAAACAGAUUCAAAUCACUAAACUCUAUAAUCAAUUGAACUUCAAAUUAAAUCUUACAAUAUUGCAACCAAGAUGAAAGACUAACAUACUUCUACAUUAAAACUUAAUUCUUUUAAAUAAAAACAAACAACCAAGAUGAAAGAUUUAUUAAACUAACAUACUUCUAUAUUAAAACUAAAUUCUUUUAAAUGAAUAAAAACAAACGGAAGAAAUAAACAAGAAAAUGAUAACCAACGAAAAUAAUAUACUGAUUUUAGAUCUGAAAAUAUCAAACAAAAUACGGAUAGAAAUGAAACUUAGACCAACUAACCGGAUCGAAACAACGACGAACUCGACCGAAAACAGAUCUGCCCGGAAAUUUUGACACCCAAAAUAACUCGAAUCUGCCCGGAAUUUCAACAACGAUCUCGACGAAUCCACGACCAGCUUGGCAACGAUCAUACUAUGUAUGUAUAUAUAUAUAUAUAUGGACAGCUUAUAUUCAUAUACAUACAUACAUACAUACAUACAUACAUAUAUAUAUAUAUAUAUAUANNNNNNNNNNNNNNNNNNNNNNNNNNNNNNNNNNNNNNNNNAUACAUACAUAUAUAUAUAUAUAUAUAUAUAUAUAUAUAUAUAUAUACACACGCACACAUAUGUGUGGACGUGGGUGGGGGUUUGGUGUGGUGAGUUCGUGGUUAUUCAUGGCUAUGGAGAUGCUGGUUAUCGUUUAGACGUGACGACGAUGAACGAUGAUGGCUGUUUUGGUGAGCGAGAUGGUGGUUUUGAUUGAAGACGAUAAGGGGUCGUUAAUGGGGAAGAAACGAUGGGGCGGUACUUUGCUGGUUUAGCGAUGAUGGACGACGUGAAGGCUGAGAAGGCUGUCAUUCGUGGCUGGACGUAGCAGAAGCGAUGGGGCUUGCUGUUGGUCGUCCUUGGAGCUGCUAGUCGUGGGAUGCAAUGCUGUGGACGGGUGGACAUGGCUGGAGUUCGAGGUCCGACGUUAAUGGAGGUUAUGAAGGCAACCGUUGCAGUUGGAUCGCCGGAAAAGAAGCAGACGAAGCAGCAGCUGUGGGGGACGAGUGGUCGUUGGCAUUUGGUUGGGUGGUUUGAAGAAGAAGAGAAGAGGGGGGGUCCUUGAGUGUGGCGGCUGGGGUUUGAGAGGAUUAGGAUUUUUUUGUGUUAGGGUGUGUAAGGAAAAUGAAAAUGAAAAUGAAAAUGAGGAGGAGAGUGUCAUUUGGGUUAUGGGAUAGACUGGGUCGG
rnacentral:lncRNA from 1 species